AGGUCGUGCAUGGAUGCAAAACCCAAAGUCUACCUUGAACGGGGCCAAGAUCCGUACAAGGUGUUAGACCUGUACGGGUUGCAUAUCCUAUGCGCGAUUGGUCAUACUUUAUAGUCGGGUUGCCUGAGAUCGCAGCCCAAAUCCGGUGGUAGACUUCAUCUCCGGCUAAAUAUGGCCACGAGACCGAUCGCGUACAAGUACCGUGAGGGAAAGUUGCAAAGAACUUUGAAGAGAGAGUUCAAGAGGGCGUGAAACCGCUGAGAAUGAAGCGGAUAGAGUCGACGAAACUUAAUCAGUAUUCAGCCGAUACGCUCGAGCGGUCGCGUCGACGCGGCGUUACAGUUGUUCGCGCAAUCAUGUUUCGCUUAACGUGGACGUUUCACUAGACUGCUUGGUGUUAAUAUCGGUGCAUUUACUGGUUGUAUGCGUUGAGAGCUUCGUAGUUGCGCACGAAAGCGCUCAAUUAUCAGAGGCUUGUCGUGUUUUAUCGCAUGGCAAGAGACCUAAUAUGAGCGUACCCCGUUUUCUUAGGAAAACACUGCGCGUGUCGCCUAUGAAGUUUGCGUAUUUAUUCGCGUGCAACUGAGAGGAACGUGUUCGCGCGCGUUCCUCUCGAUGCGUCUCUAUCAUUUUGCGCGUGUAUCUACAUGCGCUAAUUGUGCGUACCGUGUUCGUGGCGUCUUUGGCGUUGCGCGCGUGCGCACGAUUGCGUGUGUUUUUUGGAUGCGCGUCGUGAGUGAUAUGUGCGCUUUUUUGAUGAGUUGCAUGUCUCGACGUGAACGUCGAUCACCUAUCCGACCCGUCUUGAAACACGGACCAAGGAGUCUAGCGUAUACGCGAGUCAUUGGGUGUGCGAAUGCCUAAAGGCGUAAUGAAAGUGAAUGUUGUAAUUAGUGCAACUAUUAUGCGAUUUGCAAUGUGUUUUCUUAUUCUCGUUUCUUAAUUCAUUGCAAAGCAGCAUAGUCCCGUCUACGUUACAUGUAAUGAGGCGGAGAAUGAGCGUAUGCGCUGGGACCCGAAAGAUGGUGAACUAUGCCUGAGCAGGACGAAGCCAGAGGAAACUCUGGUGGAGGUCCGAAGCGGUUCUGACGUGCAAAUCGAUCGUCUGACUUGGGUAUAGGGGCGAAAGACUAAUCGAACCA
rnacentral:rRNA from 1 species